rnacentral:misc_RNA from 1 species
GUGAAUCAUCAAAUCUUUGAACGCAAAUUGCGCUCUCCUCGGAGAGUAUGCCUGUUUGAGGGUCAGCCUAAAAAAAAUCGAAGUAGUCGCUGUUUCGCGGUGACAUUCGUCGGAAAUUAAGUCAUCUUAAACCUUUGGGAAAUAAAAGAAGCUUAAAAUUUUCUUUACGAUUCCACGAACGUUUCUAAGAUUUUACUUCUUACACACGUUUAAGGUAUCGAUCUUUAUUAGACGUGGCAGCUGCAUCGGAUCGCGUCCAUAAAUAUUUCGUUAACUGACCGCAACCAGGUAAGAACAACAG